rnacentral:rRNA from 1 species
AUGAACGCUAGCUACAGGCUUAACACAUGCAAGUCGAGGGGCAGCAUCAUCAAAGCUUGCUUUGAUGGAUGGCGACCGGCGCACGGGUGAGUAACACGUAUCCAACCUGCCGACAACACUGGGAUAGCCUUUCGAAAGAAAGAUUAAUACCGGAUGGCAUAGUUUUCCCGCAUGGGAUAAUUAUUAAAGAAUUUCGGUUGUCGAUGGGGAUGCGUUCCAUUAGGCAGUUGGCGGGGUAACGGCCCACCAAACCAACGAUGGAUAGGGGUUCUGAGAGGAAGGUCCCCCACAUUGGAACUGAGACACGGUCCAAACUCCUACGGGAGGCAGCAGUGAGGAAUAUUGGUCAAUGGACGAGAGUCUGAACCAGCCAAGUAGCGUGAAGGAUGACUGCCCUAUGGGUUGUAAACUUCUUUUAUACGGGAAUAAAGUGAGCCACGUGUGGCUUUUUGUAUGUACCGUAUGAAUAAGGAUCGGCUAACUCCGUGCCAGCAGCCGCGGUAAUACGGAGGAUCCGAGCGUUAUCCGGAUUUAUUGGGUUUAAAGGGAGCGUAGGCGGGUUGUUAAGUCAGUUGUGAAAGUUUGCGGCUCAACCGUAAAAUUGCAGUUGAUACUGGCGACCUUGAGUGCAACAGAGGUAGGCGGAAUUCGUGGUGUAGCGGUGAAAUGCUUAGAUAUCACGAAGAACUCCGAUUGCGAAGGCAGCUUACUGGAUUGUAACUGACGCUGAUGCUCGAAAGUGUGGGUAUCAAACAGGAUUAGAUACCCUGGUAGUCCACACAGUAAACGAUGAAUACUCGCUGUUGGCGAUAUACAGUCAGCGGCCAAGCGAAAGCAUUAAGUAUUCCACCUGGGGAGUACGCCGGCAACGGUGAAACUCAAAGGAAUUGACGGGGGCCCGCACAAGCGGAGGAACAUGUGGUUUAAUUCGAUGAUACGCGAGGAACCUUACCCGGGCUUGAACUGCAGUGGAAUUAUCCGGAAACGGAUAAGCGAGCAAUCGCCGCUGUGGAGGUGCUGCAUGGUUGUCGUCAGCUCGUGCCGUGAGGUGUCGGCUUAAGUGCCAUAACGAGCGCAACCCUUAUCUAUAGUUACUAUCAGGUCAUGCUGAGGACUCUAUGGAGACUGCCGUCGUAAGAUGUGAGGAAGGUGGGGAUGACGUCAAAUCAGCACGGCCCUUACGUCCGGGGCUACACACGUGUUACAAUGGGGGGUACAGAAGGCAGCUACACGGCGACGUGGUGCUAAUCCCAAAAGCCUCUCUCAGUUCGGAUUGGAGUCUGCAACCCGACUCCAUGAAGCUGGAUUCGCUAGUAAUCGCGCAUCAGCCACGGCGCGGUGAAUACGUUCCCGGGCCUUGUACACACCGCCCGUCAAGCCAUGAAAGCCGGGGGUACCUGAAGUACGUAACCGCGAGGAGCGUCCUAGGGUAAAACUGGUGAUUGGGGCU